rnacentral:rRNA from 1 species
UACGUAGGGGCGAGCGUUAUCCGGAAUUAUUGGGCGUAAAGGGUUCGCAGGCGGCCUUGUAAGUCAGAUGUGAAAGACAGCGGCUUAACCGUUGUAAGCAUUUGAAACUGCAGGGCUUGAGUACAGGAGAGGAAAGCGGAAUUCCUAGUGUAGCGGUGAAAUGCGUAGAUAUUAGGAGGAACACCAGUGGCGAAGGCGGCUUUCUGGACUGAAACUGACACUGAGGAACGAAAGCGUGGGGAGCAAACAGGAUUAGAUACCCUGGUAGUCCCUGA